rnacentral:rRNA from 1 species
GAUGAACGCUGGCGGCGUGCCUAAUACAUGCAAGUCGAGCGAACGGACGAGAAGCUUGCUUUUCUGAUGUUAGCGGCGGACGGGUGAGUAACACGUGGAUAACCUACCUAUAAGACUGGGAUAACUUCGGGAAACCGGAGCUAAUACCGGAUAAUAUUUUGAACCGCAUGGUUCAAAAGUGAAAGACGGUCUUGCUGUCACUUAUAGAUGGAUCCGCGCUGCAUUAGCUAGUUGGUAAGGUAACGGCUUACCAAGGCAACGUUGCAUAGCCGACCUGAGAGGGUGAUCGGCCACACUGGAACUGAGACACGGUCCAGACUCCUACGGGAGGCAGCAGUAGGGAAUCUUCCGCAAUGGGCGAAAGCCUGACGGAGCAACGCCGCGUGAGUGAUGAAGGUCUUCGGAUCGUAAAACUCUGUUAUUAGGGAAGAACAUAUGUGUAAGUAACUGUGCACAUCUUGACGGUACCUAAUCAGAAAGCCACGGCUAACUACGUG